GAAGAAAGUGUACCCCUGCAUACCAUCGUCAUUGGGUGCAUAACCUCAUUCUUUGAUAUUUGAGGAUUCAGCACAGAAUGUGUUGUCAGUUUGUAAUUCAGUUUUCAUUUGAAAGAAGUGUUUGUAUUGAUUAUCUAACGUUAUUUACAACAUUGGAUGAAUAUUUUGUCGAGAAUAGACUUAAUUUUUCCGGCGCAUACAUCUACUUUUUGCCGUUCAGUUUUGAUAAUAGUCAAAAUACUAUUCGAUAUAAAAAUGAUAUAUUUUUUU
rnacentral:lncRNA from 1 species